rnacentral:rRNA from 1 species
AAAACAUGAACAAACGCUGGCGGCGUGUCUUAAGCAUGCAAGUUGAGCGGCAAGGGGGAGCGAUCCCCCCUAGAGCGGCGGACUGGUGAGUAACACGUGGAUGAUCUACCCGAGGCAUGGGGAUAGUCACUAGAAAUAGUGGGUAAUACCGAAUACGGUGCGCAUCGUGAGGGUGCGCAAGAAAGGUGCUACGGCACCGGCCUAGGAUGAGUCUGCGUCCCAUUAGCUGGUUGGUGAGGUAAGAGCCCACCAAGGCGAUGAUGGGUAGCCGGCCUGAGAGGGUGUACGGCCACACUGGGACUGAGAUACGGCCCAGACUCCUACGGGAGGCAGCAGCUAAGAAUAUUCCGCAAUGGACGAAAGUCUGACGGAGCGACGCCGCGUGGAUGAAGAAGGCCGAAAGGUUGUAAAGUUCUUUUGUUGGGGAAGAAUAACCAUGGGAGGGAAUGCCCGUGGGAUGACAUGAACCGACGAAUAAGCCCCGGCUAACUACGUGCCAG